CUGGGCUAGAUGGGGAGUUAGCGGUGCCCUGUAACUUGCAACCCGCUUAGCAAGGUCGAACAGUUGUCCUAGGCAUAAUUAUGUCGAAGAUGUGUGUAAAUUUUUAAUGUUGAAUUUAAGGUCUUAUGCAAUCAACCCCUUCGAACCAUGUCAGGUCCUGACGGAAGCAUCAUUAAGGAGAUCGGUUGAUGUGCCAUAAGGAAACUUUGAUGGAGUUGAAAAUUUAUGAGGCAGUCGGUGUAAUUAUGACAAAGCCUCCGCCCAG
rnacentral:SRP_RNA from 1 species